UUCCCCUCUCUGCCUCCAAAUACAAAUCGAAGUUCUUCUAUAUGCAUUUAGCCUCCACUGAAUCUUUGAGUUCCAGUUUCAUUCGCGUGUACUUAUUACAAUUGGUUUGUGUCAAUGCAACCUUAGUGCAGAUACCAUCGUUCCCAGAGAAUCCAAAUUUCAGUUAGUUCAUGUCAGUGUGGCCUUAUCAGCAUGAUUCGACCGUGAAUCCAUGAUAUUAUCUAGUGUAGCCAAUGGGUUACUCGUGGUACCGAUUACUCUUAUGAAAUGGACAGUGCCACGUGCAAAUGAACUGAAACAUUUUAUUUUAUUUUGCGGGUACUUUGAGUUUGACCAUCCCAGGUCUGAACCCUGCAACACAGCACAACGCUGGUAUAGUGCAUGCAUCCUAUUAAUGCGGAAGGUUUCAUAUAUAGAUUGAUAAUCCAUGUGACUUUGACUGAAUUGUUGAGUUAGUAUAUACUUGACCGUCUCCGUCUGGCGCCCACACUCCCUCACACUACGCGUCUUCAUCCACUUGGAUGGACACACGCUACGCAUUUUAUGUAGUAUACAUCUAUGGUGAGCCAGUCAGUAAUCAUGGCUGAGUCAUCGAUACUCACCUAGCAGCCACUUGUUGGCCACUUGAUUCAGAGUUUCAGACCAUAUAACCACGCUUUAGAAGGCUGUAUUUGGUAAUCACCCAAAAUGCCUCUCUUUUUUAGCUGAUGAAUCGUCCUACAUGCACAGUUUGCUUGAUGUCCGUGUUUAUCCAGAUUACAGAAUGUUUGAUUGCAACAUUCUAUUGAAGAUAGAAGUAUAGGACCAGCGUACAUGAUCUGGAACCUUUUGGUUUCGAUGAGUUGCUGCUGCUGAUUUAAUGCCUAUGCUCACGCUGCUGUUGAUUAAAUGCUUAUGUUGUUGCUGCAUGCUUAUGCUACUGAUUCAAUGCUUAGGAAUUGAUUGAAUUGAACCUGUUGUAAUCCUUCCUGUUCUACUUGCAUUUAAUUUUUGGGUUUCUAUUUGAUUUUUUAGUCUGUUAUAUACGGUUCAUCUUCAGUUUCUUCUGUAACUUGCUUGGAGCUUAGAAUACACAGCCCAACUAGUCUCAUAUACAACUAAGACCAAUGAUUCAUGCUGAAUUCUGUAUAUAUAUAUAUAUGUAUGUGUUGGAUUGGAGAACCACUCGAGGAGGGAGGGAGGAAGCACGGAAGGUCACCAUGGACCUCGCCCAACUCCCACCCAUCUUCCUGCCUGCAGCUGUAGGCCAAAUAAAGGAUGUUGUUCUCGGUGGAGUUGCGCUUGAGGAUGAGCAGAGAGAGAAAGUUUAAUCAAAUCCAAUAGCUUCAGUCGUGUCUGCCACUGCUCAUUGUCGUGUUGACAGAGCGUUCACCCGAUGGCGGAAUACCACGCCGCAGCAUGGGUAGUCGGCGGUUGCGCUAUAUACGUGAGUGAAAAACCCGAAAACCAUGACUUCGAUCUGCUGAGGAAGCUUGCGUUUCCUGACGGAUCAAUCCUGCGAGCCAAACUGCCCGGGAGACAAACUGCACUACCGUUGUCGCGGAAAUCCCGUGCGAUGGAAGCUUCUAGAGCCUGCUGGUACUUCCUAGCCAGAAGCCUCACAAACUCGACGUCCAGCCCUACAACCACCACCCCACACACAAGGUUGCUCCCUGCUCCCUCCUGUUCAUUUAUCUGUCCAGCUCAAUCCUACAUUCCUACCGCUACUUUUGCUGUUGAAAUCGAGAUGCUACCCUCAUCCUGCUGCUGUCUGUCAAUCGAAUCAAACUGCCCAGAGAAUGAAUGAGUUUGCAACCCUUCCUAAUUUUUUGAUCUUGUUCUAUUUUGAAAUGGACGCAGCAGGUGCUCUGCUCUUGCUCACGUCUAGCACCGUCUCCGGCUCAGUGGUGCUUCUUGAGGCGACCGGCGUGACGGCGGUGACCACAAGCUCUCCGCUGUGAGUAGACGUCAACGAUGCCUACUUGCUUGGCUGCUACAGUGAUGCAUGCGCCGGUCAAGCAAGCACACAUGCAUAUACGUACAUGUUAAGAUAGUAGCAGAUGUGCCAUAAUUCCUGUGUAAGGAAAUGUAUUCCUGAGAUGAUUUUGUUAUGUUAUCUAAACCUGGGAGAUGUGUUAUGUGAUGUGAUAUGAUGGAUGAUCUGAAUUCGACAUUGAGUUUUCCUGAUUUGAAUAUGAAACAAUGUCGGAUGCGUGUGUGUAACUGGAUUAAA